rnacentral:rRNA from 1 species
UACCAGCACCCCGAGUGGUCGGGACGUUAUUGGGCCUAAAGCAUCCGUAGCCGGUUCUACGAGUCUUCCGUUAAAUCCAACUGCUUAACAGGUGGGCUGCGGAAGAUACUAUAGAGCUAGGAGGCGGGAGAGGCAAGCGGUACUCGAUGGGUAGGGGUAAAAUCCGUUGAUCCAUUGAAGACCACCAGUGGCGAAGGCGGCUUGCCAGAACGCGCUCGACGGUGAGGGAUGAAAGCUGGGGGAGCAAACCGGAGUU